UUAAAACAUGGGAUUAGAUACCCGUCUAUUCAUGAUAUAAAUAAAAGUCGGAUAUUACGAACCCCAGUUUAAAAUUCAAAGAUUUUGGCGGUGUCUUAUAAAACCAGGGGAACCUGUCUCAUAACUCGAUAAUCCACGAUUACUCAACCUUCCUUAGAAUUCAGCUUGUGUACUGCCGUUGCAAGCAUACCUUUAAAAGAACUAGUAUGCUACUAUGAUUAACUUAAAAACUUAAUUCACACACAUCAGGUCAAAGUGCAGUCAAUAUGGAGGAGAUGAUGGGUUACAACCUAAAUAAAGAUAUGAACUAAAAUAUAAAAAAUUUUAUAAAAGUGGACUUGGCCGUAAUUAAUUAAUAGGUUAAACAAAUGAAUAAUCCUCUAAGACAUGCACACAUCGCCCUCACUCUCCUAGCCGC
rnacentral:rRNA from 1 species